GAUGAACGCUGGCGGCGUGCCUAAUACAUGCAAGUCGAGCGAACAGACGAGGAGCUUGCUCCUCUGACGUUAGCGGCGGACGGGUGAGUCACACGUGGAUAACCUACCUAUAAGACUGGGAUAACUUCAGGAAACCGGAGCUAAUACCGGAUAAUUUAUUGAACUGCAUGGUUCAAUCGUGAAAGACGGUUUUGCUGUCACUUAUAGAUGGAUCCGCCCCGCAUUAGCUAGUUGGUAAGGUAACGGGUUACCAAGGUAACGAUGCGUAGCCGACCUGAGAGGGUGGUCGGCCAGAUGGGAAGUGAGGCAGGGUAGAGACACCUGCAGGGGGAAGCGGUAGGAAAUCUUACGCAAUGGAGGAAAGGGUAACGGAGCGACGCGGCGGGAAUGAUGAAGGUCUUCGGAUCGGAGAACGCUGUAAGUAGGAGGGAACAAAUGUGUAAGUAACUGUGAACGUAUUGACGGUACCUGAUGAGGAAGCCACGGCUAACUACGUG
rnacentral:rRNA from 1 species